GUUAACCUUAACUCCACCUCAUCAAUAUGUCAUAUUGAUAGAACAUUGAAUUCAAGUCCUUGCAAAUAUUCAUCAUGAAUAUUUGCAACACGUCAUCAUGCAUCAUGAUCAUACUUCUGUAACACCCCUCAAUUCCGAAUGUUCGUAUAAAUUUUUGGUGAUAAUGUAAGCAUCUAUUUUAAUUGACAAAAGAAAUAGAGUAUGAAUCAGAGGUAACUUAUUUUUAAGAUUUGGGAGAUCUGUUCAAAAAAAAAAAGAAAAAAAAGAAAGAAUCUGAGGACCUAUAUGUAAACCCUAAGGACCUAAUCGUGAAUAUGAUAAAAACAAGGACUAAACUGCAAAAUGCACCAAAUGACAAAUUCCACCGCUUAAGCCUCUCUGCCUUCGUUGUUAAGGAAGCAGAGGAGGCAGCUCGUGGGUGAUCAGGGAAAGAAAAGAAGAAGAAGAAGAAGAAGAAGAAGAAGGAGAAGAGAAAGAAAAUUUGGGGCUUUUAGGGUUUUUGCUUUAAUCUUGUUACUUCGGGUCAAAAUUUGCAAAGGAUAGCGUAACUCUUGCUUAAAUGUUAAGAAUGGGCUGAGGCAGCGGAAAGUUUAGAAGACGUUGGGCAGAACUUUUGUUAGCAUAUAUGUAGUUGUGUAUAAGCUACCUUGCAUCUAAUGAAAUGUGACUAUGAAUCUAAACCUGUGGAUUUUGUGUAAGUUAAAGGAUCCCUCAUGUAUAGGGUUUUGGAAUGUUAAAUUAAAUUGUGUAAUGAUAUGAACUUAUGGUAAAUCGAUGAUUGUGGUGACUGCA